UGUUUGUUUUCUGAGCUAGUGUUCUCUUAUUUGAACAGGGAUUGAAGGGCAUACUGAUACAGUAGAUACAGUUUAAUAGACCCUUUCAAGUUUGUAAGAGGCAAGAAAAAUGAAAAGAUACUACUACUACUAGUAAUUAUUGUUUUAUAUUUAUUUGCAUUAACAUAAACAAAAGCAAAAUAUAGAAGUAACAAUCGGGUCGUAUGGUAAACGUAUGAUAAUAAUAUUACAAAACAUGCUGUGUGAAUGACCAAUUCAAGAUUUUUUUCUGAAUGUCUUUGAAAGGCGCCUGUUGAUUGACACGAUAAAAAUUAUAACAUUAGAACGUAAAAAUCAGUCUGAAAAUUGUAAAUGAACCCUUUAACAUGUUUAUGAUAAAUUAAAUUGUAUAAUCCAUUUCACACAAACAACAAAAGUUAAGACAAAGGUAUCCACAACUGUGCAUCCCUUCAUUGCAGCCUGCAGCUAUGAUCUGGUAAGUAUUAACAUUGACUUUGCAAAGCAGUAGUAGAAUUAUUUGUUUAUGGUAAAAAUUACUUCAUGGUGAAUUUUAAUUGUGGCAAUUAAAACAUGUUUUAGGGUACUAUGUCAGGGGCACAAAAUCAAAAUAUGUUCAGUACAUAGCAUGCUGAAGGAAGUAUAAUUACACAUUACAUAUUUUGGAAAAAUGGUAUUACAUAUAAAUGAAUAUUCAAGAAUAUGUUGUUAUGAUCAUGUCAAAAUAAUUUUUGAGGAACAAAAUUGGCCUAAGUAAAGUUACAAAUUUGAUCAAUUUUAAAUAGUCAUAAUUUGGUAAAAAAAAAAUGUGAACAAGUUGCAUAAAUAUUCCCUGAACUUUGUAACUAUACCCUAAAACAAUCUUCGUAGACGGGGUUCAAAAUAUUAAGUCAAAGUCUAGCUGUAAAACACAUACUAAAGGUCGGUUUGGUAGCAAUGGAUGUAUAAAUACACUGCCACAUCAAGUCAAAAUAGGGAUGCUAAAUCAAUGUCUGAUGAUGGAAUAUUGCCAUACUCUCUUCCUGUUUAAGACACUUGAAGGGUUCUGUAGGUCAUGGUGCUGACAUUUUAUUGUCACUCCGACAUUUUCCCCGAAAAAAUAUUACUCAUCAAAGAUACCAGGCUUGUAUAAUGUUAACUACACAUAAUGUUUCAUCUACAAAAAUACCCAUUAAUGACGUGCAAGUAAAACAAAUAUGAAAAGGCCAAAGAAACUAUGCAAUUGAAGAGCAUUGUGGAACCCAAAAUUCAAAAUGGUUUUGGCAAAUACAAAAAAGUAAUGUAUUCACACAAACCAUUCUUACUACAACUUAGCAAAACAUAAAAUCACCAAUUACUGAACUCCUAGGAAAAUUCAACACAGAAAGUCACUUAACAAAUGGCAAAAUCAAAAGCUUAAACAUCAAACCAACAGACAACAAUUGUCAUAUUCCAGACUGAGGGGGAGGACAGGGGGUACCCUUCUCCCUUCUCCCACCCCUCUUCUCCUUUCUCCUACCCCGGUUCUCCUUUCUCCCAUUAGAAUAAAACAUCUCCUUUUGAGAUAUUUUUUCUUGAAAUAUUAGAAAUUUUUUUAAAAGGAGAGAUAUUUUAUUUUUUCUCCUUUCUCCAACUUUUUCUCCUUUCUCCCAGCCUUCUUCUCCUUUCUCCCACCCCCUUUCUCCUUUCUCCUACCCCCUUUCUCCCCGUCUCCCUUACCCCUGUCCUCCCCCUCCAGGCAUUUUUUUUGUAGAAAAUUUUGAAAUAAACCCUACCUACUUACUGUAUUAAUCAUUUGUUAUUGACUGGAAUAUCUGUACCUAGCUGUUGGACAAUCCACUAUAAUAAAUGAAUAAUUAAUGUAAAGGAGCAAGAAUUCUUUCAAAAUCUGAUGUCUGAAGGCACUUUUUUAAAACCACAUUCAUUUAUAUUAUAAAAUGUCAAAAAUGGACCUGAAAAAUCAUCAAAAAAACAUUGAACAUACUACAGUAAUCAUGAGAAAUACCUUACAAAAAUAAAUUGAAACAUUGUUACCGUCUCCUUUUCUAAAUUUUGUUUGAUUUUGGAGGAAAAAUUGACUUUCCCUACCAAAGGAUUUUUUCUUUUAUUAACUCCAUAUUCCCUAUUACUUACGUCAACAUUUAGUGUAGGGAAAUCUGUUUCACUAAUGUUUGUUUUCUUAACUUUGAACAUUAAUAUAGCUGUUGUGAAACUGAUAACCAGAAUCUUUGCUUGCAACGUGUAAGGAAAAAUACUUCUUUAUUCAGCUGAUGGACCUACAACAUGAAAAAACAGGACACUUUAACACAGCAUUUUAUACCUUAUAAAACCUCCAACUUAACCUGCUUACCUCACAUGUUUUUGGACUGAUACAGCCCUAAUGACAGCUUGUAGGAAAAAUAAGGGUGAAUAUGGAUUAACAAUGUAUCAAACAUCUUUUUAAAUAUACAAGAGUAAAUGAAAACUGACAUUCUUAUUACAUAUAAAUGUACAUAAAUUAUAUUUAGAAUAAAUUUAUUUACCUAAUUACAGUAGUAAUGAUUAUUUUUCCAACUUGUACAUAAAUUUUAUGCACAACAAAUCAUAAUUAAAAAUCAAUUUUCUCUUUACUUUAAGGUUGGAUAACAUCAAGAUCAAGUUCAUUUACUUUUAAGAAAGUAAAGGUACACUGUACAGACUAGAUUUUCUCUGGACAAACAAUCCAUACAGACUUAUAUUUACAAAACAGUCAACAACAGCAUUGUAGACAUAAGACAUCUGUUUUGUGUUAACAAGUACAUUUAAUCUUAAAGCAUUUCUGUACAUCAAAAAUAAAAUAGGGAUAAAUAGGGACACACAUAUAGUUAUCAUGCCAGUGGACAUUUCAAAUAUCUAAUUUGUAAUUCAAGCGAUAUCUUAUCUAUCAUUCAGUCAGUUGCCCAAAAAAUAAUAAACAAUAAAUACUGCCAUUUUCAGAAAUCCUAUUAAGAGUUAUUGUUAAUUUUUCCUGACUUCAUCAGUACAAAUGGCAUGGAAUGUGAACUGAUAGAUAAAGCAUGAACAUUUUUUAAUUUGCUAGUUUAUAAAAUGUAUGAAAUUCAACUUGAAUGACUCAAAAGGGGAUAAGUCCAACAAAAAAUGCUAUCAUGUAUUUAUAUAUUCUAUAUUAAAAUGUCUACUUGUCACAUCCUCUACAUCAAAAUGUAUCUUUUAUAUAUGAUUAAACUCAUCAUAGAUAUCAGGAUUGAUUUUUUUAUUUCUGCCAGACAUGCCUUUGUCUACAGAUGAUUCAUCAGAUUAACUAUCACUCCUUAUUCAAAACUGAAAAGAAUGAUAUAAAAACAAUCUUUGCUAACUAAAAAAUAUAGAUAUAUUUUACUUUUUUGCAGAUAACUCAAACAUGGUAACUUAUUUUAUAUAAAGAAACUAGACAUUGCCUUUUCAGUACUUCUAAGGGUUAUCCAGUAAGAGUUGCAUGUUGUUCAACAAUGUAUAUAUAAGGUUUUUUUUAACUCUAGUAGAGUAGUUGAUAUUAAAUAGACCCCAUGAAUAUAACUAGGCUAGAGAUGAUGGUUUCAAAUGCAACAGCAUAUGGCAUUUAAAAAAUAUUUAUAAAGCCCACUAAAUCCAAAAACUUAAGUUUUAAAGGCAAUGGAAAAGGACCUUCAGAUAUUGCAUGCAUUUGCAAUGCAUAGACAGUGAUGCAAUUGUACACCAAAUUUCAACUAUGAUUAUAUGAAAUCAACAAUUUUUGGAAUGGACAUCAACAGCAAACUUAACAUUAAAACACUGUCACCAAAAAUAAAAUAAUCUGUUGUAUGUUGAAAGAAAAUUAUGAUUUUAUAAAAUAAGCAGCUAUCAACAUUAUAAUCACAAUCCUACAUAACAUAAUACCCAUUUCCAUAACAUUAUUAUUGGUAUGUAUACCACUGAAUUUGUAAAGCAUAUCAAUGUUACUUUUUUUGGUUAAAAUUUUUAAUUACAUUGUUAUUUACCUAACUUGCAAGUAUUUAUUUAGGAAAAAAAAAUCCACAUUUCAUUUUGACUAAAGUUAAAAAAAAAUUUCACAAUGUUUUUGUUAUUUUCUCCUUUACUAACAACAAUUAACAUGAAUAAUGCACUUAAAU
rnacentral:lncRNA from 1 species